UACGUAGGGGGCAAGCGUUGUCCGGAAUCAUUGGGCGUAAAGAGCGCGUAGGCGGCCCAGUAAGUCCGCUCUGAAAGUCAGGGGCUCAACCCCUGGAUGCGGGUGGAUACUGCUGGGCUAGAGUCCGGAAGAGGCGAGUGGAAUUCCCGGUGUAGCGGUGAAAUGCGCAGAUAUCGGGAGGAACACCAAUGGCGAAGGCAGCUCGCUGGGACGGUACUGACGCU
rnacentral:rRNA from 1 species